UUUUUUAACUUUAUUGUCAUACAUCCACAGCAAUUGGGAUAGGCGCAGUGAAGGAACAGGACAGAAUUGCUAAACAGCACUGCCGUAACACUACAAAAUAAAUUGUACAAUUGGUCCUAGGUGCACAAAAACCCUGCUAACAUAUGACAUUUGGCAGUAAUUGCACAGAAGAAGGAGCAGAAAUAGUUCUUGUUGCAGAUACUAUUAUGGGUUAAAAUAAUGCAAAAUGUUGUCACCUGCAGCGAUAUCUAAGAACAUCAAAACCAGGCAGAUGUAGACUUUCAUCUUGUCAGUUGGAUCGGUCAGGCAAUGAGUAAAGCUAGUCUGAAAGCACACAAUUUAUAUAGCAGCUGGAAGACACUCCUCCCUACACAAUGUCUGUCACUGAGAUUGACAGGUACUUCAACAGUUUAAAGGUGAUGUGAAACUAGUAUGUCCAACCACUUCUGAAAAACGCCAACCUAACUGAACUCCAUCCAAACAGCCCAAAAUGCCUUUAAAAAGUCCUUGAAAUUGCUCU